rnacentral:lncRNA from 15 species
UAAGUGUUAAUGCAACAUGGAUUUGUUCACACAUUUACCCUAGAAAAAAUAAUCUUUACAUUUCUUGUAUGUUUAGGACAUAUGAUCAAAUAGUGAUUUCAUCUCUCUUGCAGAGAAGUCAGAUCAACUUUUGAUUGUUAUUUUCAUGCUAAUGGAAUGAUAUGCGUAAUUAGUGAUCAUGAAUGUACUGGAGAGGCAAAAUCUUGCCCUCCGUUGUCAAUGCAAAAUGUUAAGUGGAAUCAUACACCUACUGUGUGGACACUGAUGAAGAGCCAGGAAUAAAUAUGAAUGUGUUCUUUGAAAUGUAUGCAAUAUAUCACUUAUAUUUAUAUAUAACCAAUAAUACAAAUGUGUUUGCAGUGUCAUUUGAAAGAGUAAUGCAUGGCCAGCAAUGUGAAUAUAAAACAUAUACACCAACUUUUACAGGGUUGUGUCAGCUUUCAAGCAGGUAGUGCACUCAGGUCAAAGGUGAAGAACUCCAAAUUGGAUGAGACGGGUGUUUUUGGCAUAUCCUAUAAGCAUGAAGAUCCACGUCGCUUUCUUAGUCUGAAGAGAGGUGAAAGCCUUUCGAAUGCUGUCUACCUGCUAAAGGAACUGCAAGAACAGUUUGGGACAAGCAAAACAAUUGUCUUCAUGUAUGAUAUUGCUUGCAGAUUAAAACCUCACUUGCAGAAGUUUUAUCCAGAUCUUCUGACAAAGAAGCUGACAUUUGCUGUUCCUGCGUUCCAUGCUUAUGGACAUGAUGUUGCUUGUCAGAUUUCAUACAGCUGUAGGAAUGUUGAAGGUGCAGGUUUAGCUGAUGGGGAACAGCUGGAACGACUGUGGUCAUACCUACGCCGUUUUGUAAGGUGAAUAUAAUGUCUUCUUUAUUAAAUCCAUUUAAAGCAAAAGCCCUGGCUCUCAAAGCUGCAAAGGUCAACUCAGUUGAGGAUGAGGCAGAUGCAGAGAUGGCUGAAAUCAUGAAACAUACAGGCAAAACACAAAAUGCAUUGUAGGUUGAAAAAAAAGUGCAGAAAAAGAGAAAAGUA